rnacentral:tRNA from 1 species
GCGUUCGUAGUCUAGUGGUUAGGAUAACUGCCUUCCAUGUUUCCUGGAUGUCAGCAGUUGACCCGAGUUCGAAUCUCGGCGGACGCA